CCUACGGGAGGCAGCAGUAGGGAAUCUUCCACAAUGGACGAAAGUCUGAUGGAGCAACGCCGCGUGUGUGAUGAAGGGUUUCGGCUCGUAAAACACUGUUGUAAGAGAAGAAUGACAUUGAGAGUAACUGUUCAGUGUGUGACGGUAUCUUACAAGAAAGGCACGGCGAACUACGUGCCAGCAGCCGCGGUAAUACGAAUGGUACCAGCGUUAUCCGGAUUUAUUGGGCGUAAAGCUAGCGGAGUAGGUUGUUUAAGUCCGACGUGAAAGCCCAUCGCUUAACGGUGGAAGUUCUUUGGAAACUGGAUAACUUGAGUGCAGUAGAGGAGAGUUGAACUCCAUGUGUAGCGGUGAUAUGCGUAGAUAUAUGGAAGAACACCAGUGGCGAAGGCGGCUCUCUGGACUGUAACUGACGUUGAGGCUCGAAAGUGUGGGUAGCAAACAGGAUUAGAUACCCUAGUAGUC
rnacentral:rRNA from 1 species